UGGGGAAUAUUGGGCAAUGGGGGAAACCCUGACCCAGCAACGCCGCGUGAAGGACGAAGGCCUUCGGGUUGUAAACUUCUUUGAUCAGGGACGAACGAAAUGACGGUACCUGAAGAACAAGCCACGGCUAACUACGUGCCAGCAGCCGCGGUAAUACGUAGGUGGUGAGCGUUAUCCGGAUUUACUGGGUGUAAAGGGCGUGCAGGCGGGUCCGCAAGUCGGGUGUGAAAUAUCCGGGCUUAACCCGGAAAGGUCAUUCGAAACUGCGGAUCUUGAGUACUGGAGAGGACAGUGGAAUUCCUGGUGUAGCGGUAAAAUGCGUAGAUAUCAGGAGGAACACCAGUGGCGAAGGCGGCUGUCUGGACAGUAACUGACGCUGAGGCGCGAAAGCGUGGGGAGCAAACAG
rnacentral:rRNA from 1 species